GAUGAACGCUGGCGGCGUGCCUAAUACAUGCAGGUCGAGCGAACAGACGAGGAGCUUGCUCCUCUAACGUUAGCGGCGGACGGGUGAGUAACACGUGGAUAACCUACCUAUAAGACUGGGAUAACUUCGGGAAACCGGAGCUAAUACCGGAUAAUAUAUUGAACCGCAUGGUUCAAUAGUGAAAGACGGUUUUGCUGUCACUUAUAGAUGGAUCCGCGCCGCAUUAGCUAGUUGGUAAGGUAACGGCUUACCAAGGCAACGAUGCGUAGCCGACCUGAGAGGGUGAUCGGCCACACUGGAACUGAGACACGGUCCAGACUCCUACGGGAGGCAGCAGUAGGGAAUCUUCCGCAAUGGGCGAAAGCUUGACGGAGCAACGCCGCGUGAGUGAUGAAGGUCUUCGGAUCGUAAAACUCUGUUAUUAGGGAAGAACAAAUGUGUAAGUAACUAUGCACGUCUUGACGGUACCUAAUCAGAAAGCCACGGCUAACUACGUG
rnacentral:rRNA from 1 species